rnacentral:rRNA from 1 species
UACGUAGGGGCAAGCGUUGUCCGGAAUCAUUGGGCGUAAAGAGCGCGUAGGCGGUCCGGUAAGUCCGCUGUGAAAGUCGGGCUCAACCCUCGAACUGCCGGUGGAUACUGUCGGCUAGAGUGCGGAGAGGCGAGUGGAAUUCCUGGUGUAGCGGUGAAUGACGCAGAUAUCAGGAAGAACACCGUGGCGAAGGCGGCUCCUCUGGACGGUACUGACGGCUGAGACGCGAAGCGUGGGAGCGAACAGG